rnacentral:misc_RNA from 1 species
GAUGAAGAACGCAGCGAAUUGCGAUAAGUAAUGUGAAUUGCAGAUUUUCAGUGAAUCAUCGAAUCUUUGAACGCACAUUGCGCCCGCUAGUAUUCUGGCGGGCAUGCCUGUCUGAGCGUCAUUUCAACCCUCACGCCCGGCUUCGUGUCGGGGGUGGUGUUGGGGAUCGGCCUCCCGGUUACGGGCGGCCGGCCCCGAAAUAGAGUGGCGACCACGCCGUAGCCUCCUCUGCGUAGUAGUGAAAGCCUCGCAGGCGGAGAGCGGUGCGGCCUGCCGUAAAACCCCCAACUCUUCUAAGGUUGACCUCAGAUCAGGUAGGAAUACCCGCUGAACUUAAGCAUAUCAAUAAGCGGAGGA